AGUGUUUAAAUAUUCAAACGCUGCAGGAAGAAGAAGAACAAAGUGAUGACGGAUGUUUGUGUUUCAAACAGGAAAACCGGCAGAAAUAAAUCACCUUUAGAUAACCUGCCAGAGCUUUGGGAGUUUCCAAGAUGCACUAGAAUGCAGCACAGAGUGUGUUUGUUUCGGUGUCCUCAGAUGCCUCUGUGGGUGUUUCCUUCCUGUUCAAACUUUAAUUUCACUUUCCUGAAGUAAAUGUUUGUGACUGACGCUGUGAAGAGUACAAACCGAGGAUUGUUUGGUCUCAGUCAGACUGCAAGGACUGCACACGAACACUGGUGACCGAUCACCUGAAUUCAUCUCAUCACUUUUGCGGACACCAUGGGCGCUCGGCAGUCCGUCAUUCAUAUUACGAACAAGACUGAGGGCUACACCCUUCAAAACCCCAGCAUGUCUUUAUCCUGUCUUCCUUCUCUCACCCCAACCGGU